rnacentral:rRNA from 2 species
ACGGCCCAUACUCCUACGGGAGGCAGCAGUAGGGAAUCUUCCACAAUGGGCGCAAGCCUGAUGGAGCAACACCGCGUGAGUGAAGAAGGGUUUCGGCUCGUAAAGCUCUGUUGUUAAAGAAGAACACGUAUGACAGUAACUGUUCAUACGUUGACGGUAUUUAACCAGAAAGUCACGGCUAACUACGUGCCAGCAGCCGCGGUAAUACGUAGGUGGCAAGCGUUAUCCGGAUUUAUUGGGCGUAAAGAGAGUGCAGGCGGUUUUCUAAGUCUGAUGUGAAAGCCUUCGGCUUAACCGGAGAAGUGCAUCGGAAACUGGAUAACUUGAGUGCAGAAGAGGGUAGUGGAACUCCAUGUGUAGCGGUGGAAUGCGUAGAUAUAUGGAAGAACACCAGUGGCGAAGGCGGCUACCUGGUCUGCAACUGACGCUGAGACUCGAAAGCAUGGGUAGCGAACAGGAUUAGAUACCCUGGUAGUCCAUGCCGUAAACGAUGAGUGCUAGGUGUUGGAGGGUUUCCGCCCUUCAGUGCCGGAGCUAACGCAUUAAGCACUCCGCCUGGGGAGUACGACCGCAAGGUUGAAACUCAAAGGAAUUGACGGGGGCCCGCACAAGCGGUGGAGCAUGUGGUUUAAUUCGAAGCUACGCGAAGAACCUUACCAGGUCUUGACAUCUUGCGCCAACCCUAGAGAUAGGGCGUUUCCUUCGGGAACGCAAUGACAGGUGGUGCAUGGUCGUCGUCAGCUCGUGUCGUGAGAUGUUGGGUUAAGUCCCGCAACGAGCGCAACCCUUGUUACUAGUUGCCAGCAUUAAGUUGGGCACUCUAGUGAGACUGCCGGUGACAAACCGGAGGAAGGUGGGGACGACGUCAGAUCAUCAUGCCCCUUAUGACCUGGGCUACACACGUGCUACAAUGGACGGUACAACGAGUCGCGAACUCGCGAGGGCAAGCAAAUCUCUUAAAACCGUUCUCAGUUCGGACUGCAGGCUGCAACUCGCCUGCACGAAGUCGGAAUCGCUAGUAAUCGCGGAUCAGCAUGCCGCGGUGAAUACGUUCCCGGGCCUUGUACACACCGCCCGUCACACCAUGAGAGUUUGUAACACCCAAAGUCGGUGGG